AUGGAAACCCAAACUGAUUUUAAUUUGCUAGGCGGGGUUGGCAAUUAUUUUUGGAGCGAUCCAAUCUCGCACCGUCCUCUUGGUUUCUCAAUCCCGAUCCAAUCUUCCAAUCCCCUUCGCCGCUCCUCUCCCACGUUCCCACUCCCGUCCACCUCCGCCGCCCCCACCAUCGACGCAACAACUGCAGCCACCGCCGCCAUCGGGUCCCCGAGGAAGCCUCCUGCAACGGCGACAGUCGGGCCGGGAGGAAGAGCCCGCCGUGCGCCUGCUCUUCUCGACGCUCUCGGGACGCUCGUCCAUGGCGUGAUCUUCGCAGCAGCUCCCGCGUUUCUUCCCCGACGCUGCGCUCCGGAACGCGGCCGACCCCUCCAGCACGUUGACGCACGCGUCACUACCUUCGUGGCCCUCCUCCAACGUCCACCGCGGUGGGAGCAGAGGUGCAGCCCUGCCACGACGGACACCUCCUUCCCGCGCUCCCCCCGCCUCCCGGCGUCUGAUGGUCGUCGUCAGCCACCACAGUGGGCAAGGCCAACCUCCACGACGACUAGAUCCGCCACCACCGUCACGACGAUGGCCGUCUUCCACGGCCACCCCCUACCCGCCUCACUGUCGGAUCAGUCGUCCAGGGACUCCACCCGCGCAUGGAUGGAAGGGAAAGGAUGGCAUUUCUUGAGGAAGAUAAAGGCAUGGUUGAUGCGUGUGCUAGGCCAAGGGAUGCACAUAUUGCAUUGGGAGGACUUAAUUGUGAGACUUGAAGCACAAGAGAGAGUGCUUGAAGAGAUGGAGAAGAAACAACAAGAAGAAUUUGAAGCUGUGAAGAAGAGCCAACAAGACAAGAGUGAAGCCGGGGGAAAGAAGCAACAUGAAAUGGAUAAACUAAUGGCUUUUUCUCUCAAGUGCUCAAGCAACUUUAGUCUGAGUCCAAACCUGUGUGACUGA
rnacentral:rRNA from 1 species